rnacentral:rRNA from 1 species
GACGUAGGGCGCGAGCGUUGUCCGGAUUUAUUGGGCGUAAAGAGCUCGUAGGCGGCUUGUUGCGUCGACCGUGAAAACUUGGGGCUUAACCUUAAGCUUGCGGUUGAUACGGGCAGGCUAGAGUUCGGUAGGGGAGACUGGAAUUCCUGGUGUAGCGGUGAAAUGCGCAGAUAUCAGGAGGAACACCGGUGGCGAAGGCGGCAUCCUGGACCGGCAUUGACGCUGAGGCGCGAAAGCCAGGGGAGCAAACGGG